GACGAACGCUGGCGGCGUGCCUAAGACAUGCAAGUCGAGCGGGGUUUCGGGGCUUCGGCCCUGAGACCCAGCGGCGGACGGGUGAGUAACACGUGGAUAACCUGCCCUCUGCUCUGGGAUAACAGGCCGAAAGGCCUGCUAAUACCGGAUAAGCUCACGGACCCGCAUGGGUUUGGGAGAAAAGGCGCUGGAGUCGGUGGCGCUGGCAGAGGAGGGGUCCGCGGCCCAUUAGCUGGUUGGCGGGGUAACGGCCCACCAAGGCGACGAUGGGUAGCCGGCCUGAGAGGGCGACCGGCCACACUGGGACUGAGACACGGCCCAGACUCCUACGGGAGGCAGCAGUCGGGAAUUUUGCACAAUGGCCGAAAGGCUGAUGCAGCAACGCCGCGUGAGCGAAGAAGGCCUUCGGGUUGUAAAGCUCUGUUGCCUGCGAAGAAGGGCCCUGUCAGGAAAUGGGCGGGGUUUGACGGUAGCAGGCGAGGAAGCCCCGGCAAACUACGUGCCAGCAGCCGCGGUAAUACGUAGGGGGCGAGCGUUGUCCGGAAUUACUGGGCGUAAAGGGCGUGUAGGCGGCCUGUUAAGUCAGGGGUGAAAGACCGGGGCUCAACCCCGGGGGUGCCUCUGAAACUGGCGGGCUUGAGUGCUCUAGAGGGCAGUGGAAUUCCCGGUGUAGCAGUGAAAUGCGUAGAGAUCGGGAGGAACACCAGUGGCGAAGGCGGCUGCCUGGGGAGUCACUGACGCUGAGGCGCGAAAGCUAGGGGAGCAAACAGGAUUAGAUACCCUGGUAGUCCUAGCCGUAAACGAUGAGCGCUAUGUGUGAGGGGUAUCGACCCCCCUCGUGCAGUAGCUAACGCAUUAAGCGCUCCGCCUGGGGAGUACGGCCGCAAGGUUGA
rnacentral:rRNA from 1 species